rnacentral:misc_RNA from 1 species
AAGAGUUGUAAAACUCCCAACCAUUGUGAACGAACCUUUCUGCUCAGGCGAGCGGCGCCCUGUCGCUGCAAGCUGAAGGCAGUAAACUCUUAAUUCAGUGAAUGUCUGAGUUGCUUAUUUAAUAAGUCA